rnacentral:rRNA from 1 species
GAUGGCGACCGGCGCACGGGUGAGUAACACGUAUCCAACCUGCCGAUAACUCCGGAAUAGCCUUUCGAAAGAAAGAUUAAUACCGGAUGGCAUACGAAUAUCGCAUGAUAUUUUUAUUAAAGAAUUCGGUUAUCGAUGGGGAUGCGUUCCAUUAGUUUGUUGGCGGGGUAACGGCCCACCAAGACUACGAUGGAUAGGGGUUCUGAGAGGAAGGUCCCCCACAUUGGAACUGAGACACGGUCCAAACUCCUACGGGAGGCAGCAUG